rnacentral:pre_miRNA from 1 species
UGCUCAUAACUUUCUUGAACAAAUUCCUUUUGGGUUGAAAUUUUCCAGCCUUGGUCUCAGCUCCGCAGGGAAUUCUUUUGGAAAGUUUGAUU